rnacentral:rRNA from 1 species
AUUGAACGCUGGCGGCAUGCUUUACACAUGCAAGUCGAACGGUAACAGGUCUUUCGGGAUGCUGACGAGUGGCGAACGGGUGAGUAAUGUAUCGGAACGUGCCCAGUAGUGGGGGAUAACUACUCGAAAGAGUGGCUAAUACCGCAUGAGAUCUCUGGAUGAAAGCGGGGGACCGUAAGGCCUCGCGCUACUGGAGCGGCCGAUAUCAGAUUAGGUAGUUGGUAGGGUAAGAGCCUACCAAGCCAACGAUCUGUAGCUGGUCUGAGAGGACGACCAGCCACACUGGGACUGAGACACGGCCCAGACUCCUACGGGAGGCAGCAGUGGGGAAUUUUGGACAAUGGGCGCAAGCCUGAUCCAGCAAUGCCGCGUGCAGGACGAAGGCCUUCGGGUUGUAAACUGCUUUUGUUACGGAACGAAAAGCCUCUGGUUAAUACCUAGGGGUCGAUGACGGUACCGUAAGAAUAAGCACCGGCUAACUACGUGCCAGCAGCCGCGGUAA